GAAGUCUCCACAGUCACGCGGAACUUACUAUGUUUCACAGAACAAUUUAGAGGACAUCACAGUUACCAAAGCAUCAAGACAGACACAAGCAUCACUGUGAAGCUAAGUUUACAGGUGUCUAAAUCAGAAGGAGCCAUACCUGAAGAACUAUAUUCAGAUCUGAUGUAGACCAUGAUAUGCAGGUUCACUGAGACUUUUGUCAUAACUGGACAUGACUUCAGGGAAUUCUGAGAUGGAGCCGAGCACAUUCAGCUGUUGGAGAUUCAUGAGUUGUUGUGGUUAGAGAUUGGAUUUGAUAGCAUGGUUUUAAAUCAGUUUCAGUUUUCCCCACCUUCUAUAUCCACACUUGCAUUGUGUCUUUGAAUCUCUUCCCAUCAAAAAAUGUAACCUAUAAUGUAAAUCUGAGAGGGCCAGUUGAUUGCAACAGAAGUGAUGAUACUCCCAUAAGCUUGUGAGAACAAAGUCCUCAGACAAAGUGUCAGAGCUGCUAUUAGGAAAGAAACCAUCAGCACAUACUAAAAAGGCUAGUAAGGAAAGGUAAGUGCAGGGUAUUGAAAGUAGCUGCAAUAUUUUCAAUAUAUUAUACUUCAUCUUUGGUUGACCUUUUUUUUUUUAAUCGGGACAUUCUUAAGUCAAUUUUCAGACUAAUUUCCUCAUUUCAUAAAACAUAUUUAAACAUUGAACUCAAAUGCAAGAAAUUGUCUUAAUUCUAUUGACAUGUUGAUUGCUCUAAGUUGUGACAUACAGUCUUCAAAACUCUGCUUGUCACUGUCACUCUUUUUUUCAAUAUUAUGGCAUAAUAUGUCUGCUUGUACCUUCUUUAAGACCAACACAUUGCUGAAAUAUUCAUUGUGAUAAUCAAUCUUCAACAGAUUCCCAGAUGUUUCUAGCAUAUGCAAUAUUAAAAAAGAGAUGCUAGCCAUGAAAAGAUACAAAUUAAAUUAUUUUUGUAAUAUCACCUAAUAAAACUCUUUUCUAACAACUGGUUUUAAUUUAGGAAACUCACUCCUUGCAUAAUCUCUGAAGUUAAAUUCCAGAGCAAAGAAAUUUAGAGAAGUAGGCAAAGGCAAUGUAAUCUUUCUAUUAAUAUGUUCAGCUAAAGUCACUGACUGUGUAAGAGAUGAACAAAAAUCAUUUUCUCCUAAAAGAGCUAAUUUUCCUUGUGUAAAUUUGUU
rnacentral:lncRNA from 1 species